GAUGAACGCUGGCGGCGUGCCUAAUACAUGCAAGUCGAGCGAACGGACGAGAAGCUUGCUUCUCUGAUGUUAGCGGCGGACGGGUGAGUAACACGUGGAUAACCUACCUAUAAGACUGGGAUAACUUCGGGAAACCUGAGCUAAUACCGGAUUAUAUUUUGAACCGCAUGGUUCAAAAGUGAAAGACGGUCUUGCUGUCACUUAUAGAUGUAUCCGCGCUGCAUUAGCUAGUUGGUAAGGUAACGGCUUACCAAGGCAACGAUGCAUAGCCGACCUGAGAGGGUGAUCGGCCACACUGGAACUGAGACACGGUACAGACUCCUACGGGAGGCAGCAGUAGGGAAUCUUCCGCAAUGGGCGAAAGCCUGACGGAGCAACGCCGCGUGAGUGAUGAAGGUCUUCGGAUCGUAAAACUCUGUUAUUAGGGAAGAACAUAUGUGUAAGUAACUGUGCACAUCUUGACGGUACCUAAUCAGAAAGCCACGGCUAACUACGUG
rnacentral:rRNA from 1 species